rnacentral:rRNA from 1 species
AUACGGAGGGUGCAAGCGUUACUCGGAAUCACUGGGCGUAAAGCGCGCGCAGGCGGCUAUUUAAGUUGGAUGUGAAAGCCUACGGCUCAACCGUAGAACUGCAUCCAAAACUGUCAAGCUAGAGUGUGGGAGAGGAAGAUGGAAUUAGUUGUGUAGGGGUAAAAUCCGUAGAGAUAACUAGGAAUACCAAAAGCGAAGGCAAUCUUCUGGAACACUACUGACGCUGAGGCGCGAAAGCGUGGGGAGCAAACGGGAUUAGAAACCCUAGUAGUCC